rnacentral:tRNA from 1 species
GGGCGAGUGGUGGAACUGGCAGACACGCAUGGCUUAGGACCAUGUGCCGUAAGGCUUGGAGGUUCAAAUCCUCUCUCGCCCA